rnacentral:rRNA from 1 species
CCUACGGGAGGCAGCAGUGGGGAAUAUUGGACAAUGGGCGAAAGCCUGAUCCAGCAAUGCCGCGUGAGUGAUGAAGGCCCUAGGGUUGUAAAGCUCUUUUACCAGGGAUGAUAAUGACAGUACCUGGAGAAUAAGCUCCGGCUAACUCCGUGCCAGCAGCCGCGGUAAUACGGAGGGAGCUAGCGUUGUUCGGAAUUACUGGGCGUAAAGCGUGCGUAGGCGGUGACUCAAGUCAGAGGUGAAAGCCUGGAGCUCAACUCCAGAACUGCCUUUGAAACUAGGUCGCUAGAAUCACGGAGAGGUGAGUGGAAUUCCGAGUGUAGAGGUGAAAUUCGUAGAUAUUCGGAAGAACACCAGUGGCGAAGGCGGCUCACUGGACGUGUAUUGACGCUGAGGCACGAAAGCGUGGGGAGCAAACAGGAUUAGAUACCCUGGUAGUCCACGCCGUAAACGAUGAUAACUAGCUGCCAGGGCUCUUAGAGCUUUGGUGGCGCAGCUAACGCAUUAAGUUAUCCGCCUGGGGAGUACGGUCGCAAGAUUAAAACUCAAAGAGUAGUAGCGUGAGAGUGCGACGAGACACACGGAGGUUAGG